AUUGAACGCUGGCGGCAGGCCUAACACAUGCAAGUCGAGCGGGGCGGGGGACGGGUGAGUAAUGCCUAGGUAUCUGCCUGGUCGUGAGGGAUAACGAACGGUAACGGGAGCUAAUACCGCAUACUCUCAGAUGAGCAUAGGUCGAAGUAGCUAGUUGGUGGGGUAAAGGCAUACCAAGGCGACGAGCCCUAACUGGUCUGAGAGGCUGAUCAGUCACACUGGAACUGAGACACGGUCCAGACUCCUACGUGAGGCAGAAGUGGGGAAUAUUGGACAAUGGGCGCAAGCCUGAUCCAGCCAGGCCGCGUGUGUGAAGAAGGCCUUCGGGUUGUAAAGCACUUUAAGUUGGGAGGCGUUACCAACAGAAUAAGCACCGGCUAACUUCGUGCCAGCAGCCGCGGUAAUAC
rnacentral:rRNA from 1 species